CGAUUGGAUGGCAGGUCAUAGAUAAAUUAUCAAAUCUCAACAUCAGUCAUAUGAUAGAUCUGAUCAGCUCAAGUCCAAUUGUAAUUUUUAUGAAAACUCCUUUCCAUCAAUCACACUAUUGUGGCCACAGAUUCUCGGACUUAGUCUCUCAAAUCUUAUAGAACUGCUCUUCUCUAUUAAGAUCAAUAGAUCCCAUCUAGAUGUGCAUCCUACUCUUACAAUGGACCAAC
rnacentral:lncRNA from 1 species